UCCUUCAUAGUUCAAUCUUUAUUCAUGUGUUGGGGGAAAGCACAGAAAAGCACAUGUUUUCUUUAAGUAGAACGAUAAUCUCUCAAUUAAGUAAAAUAAUAACACACAAUGAGAAGGUAAAAAAACUAAUGAAACAAAACAAACUCAAGAUGAGAAACCCUAAUAACAAAAGUGAAAUAUAAUAUUCAAUCAUUGGGUGGGUUUUGGUUGAUGAGCGAGACCAAGCUCGUCGUCAUAUUGCACUUCCUGUCCACUCCCAUGAGAUCCACGACCUACUCGACGACUCUUCGUGAUCGUUAUGCAGUCGUAUAUCAUACCUAUAACUAAUAUAGAGCAUAUAACGCUGAUGGAGACGAUGAGGACGAUCAGUCCGGGUUCCAUGAUCAACAACAAACUGGGGAUCUAAUGCUUUAUUGAUUGUUUCUCGUCUGGUAUGUCUU
rnacentral:lncRNA from 1 species